GCCGGGCGCGAUGGCCCACGCCUGUCAUCCCAGCCCUCGGGAGGCUGAGGCAGGAGGAUCGCGAGUUCAAAGCCAGCCUCAGCAACAGCGAGGCCCUAAGCAACUUAGUGAGACCCUGACUCUA
rnacentral:sRNA from 1 species